rnacentral:misc_RNA from 1 species
AAGGAGGACCAAACACAAAACUUUAGCAUUAUCACAACUAAUGUAGGCUGUUAAAUCAAAAUCUUCAUACCUUAAAAUGAAAAAACAAAAUAUACAAUAGAUAGGAGAUGAAUCUACCAAAAAAAAAAAAAGCAUUAGAAAGGAAAAACCAAAAAGAAAACCAAGAAAAAGAAGCAAGAAGAUUCUGAAUACCAAAUUAACCACAGCCAUAGUUUACAUCUGGCUUUGCAGC